rnacentral:lncRNA from 1 species
UAUAUUUCGCUGAGCCCUAGACGAUGAACCAGCUGCAGAGCUAUUUUCUUCCGCCAUAAUUUUCGUAUUCAAAUCGUACAAGCAAUGCCCUAAAACGCAAGAAUCAAAUAAUACAAUCAUCAUAAAGGGAUUUAAAAAACAAAAAGCAAAAGGAAUUUAUUGAUACCUUAAAAGGAUGAAGUUAUGCUAGCUAGCCAUCAAUACAUGAAAGAAUUAUAUGUUUUGUGGAAUAUAAAAGCAGUGUGUGUUUAGAUAUUUGUACGGGAGCGGGGUGUAGAGGGACAGAUGCUUUUUUUUUUCUGUUCUUAUUAGCGCCACCAGGAAACAUGCAUUCAAGAAAACCUAGCAGAUGUGACCCUUGAUUAGUUCGUUUAUGACGGUGAUAAGCUUUUGUUUACUAACGGUGAAUUAUCCAACUAGCUAGAUUUAAAUUCAGCAUUCGAUAUAAUUUUGUGCUUUUGUUUUUUUCCAAUAAGAUGUGAUUGGUGAUUAUAAUCAUCGGAUAAUGAUCAAUAUGUUAAUGAAUCGUAAUUGUUUGUAAGAUUUCUCAUAAAGUUGGAAACAAAGCUAUAUGAUAUAUAAGAGAGAGUUAUGGGUAAUUUUUUAGAAAA